UCUUUGUAGUAAUACAAGGCAUACGGCUCAGUAACGCGUAGUCAACCUACCCUAUGGACAAGAAUAAUCUCGGGAAACUGAGCAUAAUUCUUGAUAGAUCAUAAUGCCUGGAAUGGUUUAUGGUUAAAAUGAUUCGUCGCCAUAGGAUGGGACUGCGGCCUAUCAGCUUGUUGGUGAGGUAAUGGCCCACCAAGGCGAUUACAGGUACGGGCUCUGAGAGGAGAAGCCCGGAGAUGGGUACUGAGACAAGGACCCAGGCCCCAUGGGGCGCAGCAGGCGAGAAAACUUUGCAAUGUGCGAAAGCACGACAAGGUUAGUCCGAGUGAUCUCUGCUAAAGAGAUCUUUUGCUAGUCAUAAAACCACUAGUGAAUAAGGGGUGGGCAAGUUCUGGUGUCAGCCGCCGCGGUAAAACCAGCACCUCAAGUGGUCAGGAUGAUUAUUGGGCCUAAAGCAUCCGUAGCCGGCUCUGUAAGUUUUCGGUUAAAUCUAUGCGCUCAACGUAUGGGCUGCCGAAAAUACUGUAGAGAUAGGGAGUGGGAGAGGUA
rnacentral:rRNA from 1 species